rnacentral:tRNA from 2 species
GUCACCAUAGCACAAUGGAUAGUGCGUUCCCCUCCUAAGGGAAGGAUACUGGUUCGAUUCCAGUUGGUGAUACCA